AUUUUAAAUUAUUAUGUGGGUUUUCUUUUCCAUAUUUUUAACUUUUUUUUUUUAUAUUUUCCAGAAAAUCAUUUUCUCUCUUACCUCUUUGUCUUCUCCACCACCAUUGUUUCUCUUCACCUCUCUGUCUUCUCUUCACCAUUGUUCCAUCUUCACCAUUGUUUUCUCUCUUACCUCUUUGUCUUCUCCUCCACCAUUUCUCUUCACCGUUGUUCCAUCUUACCUGAAGAGGAGGCAUCGAUUUACGCCGUCGAAGCGAAAAGAGGAGCCUAUAAAACAUCGUGAGGUCCCGUCGUCCCUCUACGUCCUCUGACCCCUUUUCUUCGGACAGCCACCUCUGCCCUCUCCUCUGGGUUGGGUAACACUACAAUUGACCCGAGAUCCCACCUUUGCAAGAGGAUUCUUGUCUGCUAGAUCUGUCACUGGGUUUCUUUCAGAUGUUUAUUCUGUAGCUGCUGAUGAAGUUGGGAAAAUUUUUGUUAUUGCUGAUGAAAGGGCAGAUCUUAGCAAACCAGAGACAAUUCCUGUAACGUUGGUUGGCAUUCACACUGUUAUUGAUUGUGCCACAGGGCGCCCAGAAGAGCCUAUAAAGACGGUAGGAUAUAACUAAUAAUUUUCUCUACAGUAGUUUCAUAUUGAUUGGUUUUUGCAUUCUUUUUAUGCUAUAUUUCUUUUUUCCUAAAAACAAGUAGAGGAAUUCAUGUGUCAUUCAGCAAGCUCAGUAUAUAUCUUUAUGGUAAAGGUGCAAAUAUUGAUUCCAGACCUUUGCUAAGCAAUCAUUUUUCCCUUAAACUAAGCUCUUUAUUGUGUCUUCUUUA